AUAUUCUUAUCUUUUCGGUGGUGGUCAUGAGAUUUGUAUUAAGUACUCCAUCUGCUUACUUUGAUACCAUACCAUAUUGAAGUGUGCAGGGCGGAGGGAGAAAGGGCCAAGGGGGUUCCGAAUCCCUUUUUGCUGAAAAUUAUACUAUUUAUACAUGAUAAAAAUUAUUUUUUAUGUAUAUAUAGUAGACGUUGAACCUCUUUUGGCUUCUUUGUGUGUUUACUUUUUCAUAUUUUGAACCCCCUUAGUGAAAAUUUUAUCUCCGUCACUGGUGUGUGACCAUCUCAUCCAAACGAUUAAAGUGUUAGAGAGAGAAUUAUUUCUAUUUAUUAAAUUGUAUGUCUCAAUACCGGCUUCUUAUGUGUGAGCCUGAUUUUUUUUCAUUAGUCAAAUACAUGGAAAAUUAUUCUUGUUUUUUUUUUUUUUGUGUGGCGAAGAGAUUUGAACACAUGACCUUAUCUAUCUGUUUUAUAUGUCAUAUAAAAGUUUAAGCUGUUAGAGAGAACACACUUUUAUUUACUUAAUUAUAUACAUAUGUCUCAGCACACGCGCGCUCUACGUGUGGCUGGCUUGAUUCUUUUCAUGAGUAGAACAUAUGGACAAAUAUCUUUUGAUACGUGUCAUAUUGAAGUGUGUGACUACCUAAUUUAAGAAUUCGAGAAAUCACAAUUUUAUUUACUUAAUUAUAAUAAAUGUCUCAUCAAAACCCGUUACAUGUGAUUGUGAUUUCUCUGUGGCCAUGUUCUACCAAUGCUGCCAAUUUUUUUCCUAACGCUGACUAGCUUGUCAAUUUAUCAUCAUCCGCAUAGAUUAAUUUUCCACAUUGACUUGAUCAACUUAAGAUAUCAUCAGUAUAGCUCUUGUGGUCCUCAUCCUCCUGGAGUUUUUAUAAAUUGGUAACUUAGGUGAUCAGCUGAUUUUUCAUAUUGCACCUUAAAAAUAUUAGAAAGAAGUUGUCACGAAAAAUUGCUUCUUGAAACUCAUAAUAGUACGUGCACAACUAAAUAUGGAGGCAAGAUGCUUAUAUGUUACUGUUCACUCUGCUAGCGACCUCCCAGAUGUCCGAGAGUUGGGUCGAAUGAAAGUUUAUGCGAAGGUUACAGUAGCAGGAAAGAGCAAGUGCACAGAAGUGGAUCUUGAGAACGAGACGAAUCCUAAGUGGAAUACCACACUUGAUUUCUUUGUGCCAAUGAAAGAAAUCAUACAAGAAGGGGGUAAAAUUUCUGCAAAAAUUGAGUUGUUUAAAGGACUAUCUUAUCCGAUAAAUAUGUUGGCGAGUUAGACAUCGCUGUACAAUCUAAUUGUAAAUGUACUGAUACUUUUACUGUACCAGUGAAGACGUGUUGUUCAGAUAAUAGUUUUGGGACUUUGAAGUAUUCAUGUGUUUUAGGAGAUAUCCACCUUGUAACAGAGCCGCCAUCGUCCAAGAAGAUCAAUCACGAAAUUGCAGAAUCUCUAGUGAAAGUAAUGUUAGGGACCUAAUAUAUAUAAGAACUACUUUUGCUUGAAAUAUUUUGAAAUCUAUUAUGAAUGAGCCUGAACUAGUAUUAGCAAAGCAGCCCAUCACCAGAUUAAGGGUGUGUUUCGGUAUGAAGGUAAAUGUAUUUAGGAAAACAAGAGGGUUUCUUACUUAUUUUCAUGUGUUCAGUACAUAAGUUAAGAAUAUAUUAUCCUAAAAGGCAUUUGUAUACAGUCUAGAGAGAAAUACUAUGGAGGUGGGUGGGUGUGUGUGUGGGAUGAAGAUGAGGCGCGCUCGAGGGUGGGGAGGAGACAAUUAAUGUGGAAUGACACUGUGGAACUUGUUCCAUUAGAGAAGUCAUUUUCCUCAUUUUUAAGAAACUUAUUUUCCUAGAGAAAAUGUUUCUCAAAAUUUUUGACUAACCAAAGAUGAAAAAAUUGGAAAAUAUUUUCCUACAUACCGCACACCCUAAGUGGUUAUGUCAGGGUCCGGGUUGAUAAAUAGCGACUUGUGAGAGCAAAAUAGGUGGAUGCAUAUUAUGUUGAAGUUUUGGCUCAGUGUGUUACGUUAUCCCUCAUCUCCCUUCUAUGUUCUAGUAUCUCAUCUCCCUUCUUCUCUAGUAUCCCUAGCUAUCUUACUUUCAGUAAUUCAAUUGUAAUUCUGUCAUUCAAGUAUCAAUUUAAUUACUAGCUUAUUGUAAUUGAAUAAGUUCCUAUCAAUACAAAUGUUGGGACUUGGGAGUUUGGUUUCUA